GGGCUCGUACGGGCCGGGGGCAGGGGGCAAGCGAUCCCAACUCCAGCAGCCCGGAGGAGGCCGCCGUUCCACGAGCCGCUCCUCCUCUUCUUGCGGCCCUUGCAGAGGCGGGCCGGGCUCGAGUGGCUGUGACCGCGGGGCUCGUGGAAGAGGAGUCCGCAGCGGCGGGGCAAGGAGAAUCUGAGGCUGCGACGGCCGGUGGACGUAGCGGCAGGAGAAGUUGAGAAGACGAAGCAGCUACCAGCGGUGGUGCGUAGCUCCGGGUUCCAUCGCGGGGAGUUGAGGAUAGGGAGUAGACACAAGCACAACACGACCCAGAGUUUGCAUAGACUUGUUUCGAUGGUUCGCUCCGGACUAUGCUGACUUCUUUAUCUUUGACAUGUUACAACAUGCUUGGCUUUUAUUCUUGACAUGUUCCGAAAUAUCGUAAUGGUACCAGUUCAUCGAUGGGCUGGUUGUCUAUACCAGUGACAACAUAUGCAAGAUUAUGUUUAUACGCAUCAAACUGUGACAGUUUCAUCAUAAAACUAAGUGACAGAGCGUAUUAGUUAAAAAACACUCAAAGUCUUUUAACAUUUUUUAGUCUUUAUUUAAUUUAAGACGGUUAAACGUCGGCACUAUCUAUGUUAUUGUCUCAUGAAAAAUCAAUUAUUUUCGAAAGUGAGUCCCGUCGUUCUUUUUGAACGUAAGUCUCAUUUUCGAAAAUUACUCAUGUAUAUAUAUUGUCCAGCGUCUGAAAACUACUCAGUUUCGAACGUAAGUCUCAUCAGACGUUAAACAAUAAACGUUGGACAAUACAAGAACAGUUGAAGCAUUCAAACCUCCUUCUUCUGAGGGUCCCUGUGGAGGUUGAUUUAACGAGCACCGGUUAAUAGGAGUCGGGUGUAUCGUGGAUCGUGGCUGCACUCCACUCCUAGAGACAGAAGGUCCUAUAAUUCAUUUGAAAGACCUAGCUGAUUGUACACUUCCUCCUCAACCUCCUCCCUCUCAUACUCCACCUCCUUAGCCGUUUCCUGUACCUUACCGGCCAAGGAGUCCUCUGGUUUUAGACCAACGCACCCCACAGGUGCGAGGGAAGCGCUGGUAUAGGUGUAUUCCCCUAGUAACAAUUUGGACAACCACACUCCCGGAACCACCAAUAAGGUCUUCCGUGUUAGGGCGGUGCUGUCGGUUCGUGGUAGUAACCUACAGAAACAUCCGUAAUAAUGGGGCCGGAUGAAGGGUAUCCUCUGCCACUCCUCCUCGGUCGAACCAGAACCCUCGUGACCUUUGCGCGAGGUCUAUGCCUUCUGUUCACCCUGUCCCUCAUGGCGUCACGACGACUCACCCACCAGUUGCUAAAAACCCUGAAGAAAUGAACGCAACUCCCAUACCUCCUACUUCGAUUACUCCAACACCUCCUCUAACGGUUCUUCUAACAGGUUCUGUACGGAAUGCUCCGAGCACAGUUACGACACCAUUUCAUAAAGCGCGUACUUGCGUUCUACGAAGAAUUUUUCGACGAUCGGGCCUCUCACGUAGAGUGGGCAAGGUACAUGUACUUCCGCCAAGGGGGUACCACGUUGUUGUUCUAAGGAACGAUGGUCGUUUAGUAUAGGUCCACCUAUUUGGGUCUCACCUCCCGGUGUAUGUCUCGUCGAAGCCUCGCUGCACGGAACUACCCACCAGGCCAUGUGGAAGUACCGUUGGAGUUGGAGGUACGAAUGCACGUCUUCUUCUUAUCCCUCUCUCCACUCCCACUUCUCGGCGAGUUAUGGAAGUGCCCUAAUACAGAGAGGGCGUUCAGUUUCUUUGGCCUUCCCCCACCCAGUUGGGUCCCCGACCUAACUCCUAACUACGUAUAUCACCCUUCAAGUUCCUCACGUUGCCCGGACUGAGACUAGCUCGGAGUGUACUGUAACUACAAUGCCAAAGGGAGUUCAGUCCUGUUCCGUUCUUCGCACCUGCCAAUAUACAACCACUGCCAAGGUAGACAUUCCUGUAAGGUUUUGAACGGCUGGAGGCACGAUGGUGCAGCUCGAGUCCAGGACGAUAACUCGCAGCGGGUCUCGGACCCGAUGUGUACUACGUAGUUAAGGUACGAGCGGAUCUCCUUCUUUCGUCCAAUGCCGUCCUUCUUUGGUCCAACGCCGACCUCCGAGUCCGGUUACGGGAUGAAGUUGUCCUCGUUCGGUACUUUUACGUCGUUCGGGACAAAGUCGUCGUCCUUAAGUACCAAUUUGUCGUCCGUCGGGACGUCCUCUGCAAACGAACCAAGUUAUGAUUAUACGUAACAAGAUGAAACGGCCUAGAAGGAGGAUAAGGCGGCGAAGGAUGAAAAUCGAAACAUUCAGAAGUUGAAAAGUUAGUACGUAGAAUGGUAGUACGAAUUUCUAGUACGAACUUCACAGGAGCCAGCCCUCUUCCGAGGUUAUUGAAACACCAUCCACCUAGAUUGGACGGGUUCGUUCGAGUCACUGUGGGUGACGCCGAGUACCACGAAGUUGGAGGUGUCGUGUUACUAGUGAGCUCCAAACGUAGCACCUACAGUAGCUACCACCCGUAUGUACGACACCACCUUCGACUAACGUAGAAAAUCCAACUUGAGUACGAUCCACACUUGAACCUUGAGUACUAAGGUAAACACCUGAGAACAACGUAGACAUCCACUUAGGAACAACUUAUACAUGCGAACACCUGAAACUUGAGUACCGGGAAAACAAACACUUGAGAACAACGUAUACAUGUGUACAAAAACACUUGGAAGAAACUUAUACAUACGU
rnacentral:rRNA from 1 species